UUCCUUGAGUCUUCUCCCUUCGCACAAGAGGCUCUCGGUUUCCACUAACCCAUGAGAUCUCUCUCAUUCCUUCAAGCUGAUCUCUUUCAAUUCGUAAACCCAAGGAAAACCAACCCAAAAUCCUCAAGGAAAACCAACCCCCCCCAAAUCUUUCGGUUUUGCUCUUCCUCUUCUCGUUGCCGUGUACUUCUGUGGCUUCUAAGGGGACCCAAACAGGAGUUUAUUUUCAAGAUUCAAGGAACAUACUUGUAAAGCCACAAGGUAUGAAUGAUGAGGCUAUGGAGUUAGGCACUGCUGAGGAGGGAAGGGCUAAUGCUUAGUAUUUCCUAUCGGUUCGGUUGAAGAUAAUGGUUAUGUUUCAUGUUUUAUGAUGGGUCCCAUGUUGGGACUUUUUGUUAGUUUGACUUUAAGACAAUAUGUCCAUGGGCAUG